rnacentral:rRNA from 1 species
GCUGGCGACCAUAGCGUGUAGGUACCACCCGAUCCCAUACCGAACUCGGAAGUGAAAAUGCACAGCGCCGAUGGUAGUAUGGGGUUUCCUCAUGUGAGAGUAGGACAUCGCCAGUU